GGAAAUACUGCCUACUUAUAGAGUAAAGAGGCACAGAUGUCAGCCAACGCAAGUCUGAACCAAAGACAUAGUUAGCCGCGCUGCUGGUAAGGGCCAUGAGUGUGCACUGAUAAUGGAGGAUACCUGGACUCAGUGGAGACUCAAGCAGAGACACGAGAACCAAGCAGACAUUUUGGAGCCGUACUAUGAUGUAGUGGAUGACCAGGAGACUGUUCACAAUGUGCACAUACAACCAGCCAGGCCCAUCAAUGAGGAGAGGGAGUACAUAGACAGGGAUCUCCCCAGGUCAUCGUCUGCUCAGAGCCUCUCGUCUGACCUGGCCAGUCAGGGAGGUUCUAAAAUCCACCCCACUUAUCCCCCUAGAAAAACUACAACAAAGCAAGCCCCUUCUGUCAACAGAGAUAUGAAGCCAGGGAAAAGGAAACACGUCACUGCUAACCUUCAGUCCAUACAGCACAGAGGCCCGUCUUCUUCCAGAUGUCCUCCGUCACCGCACUUCCCCCUGGAGCUGAUGGAGCAGCUCAAUUGCAUGACUCUGCAAGAAAGCACCAAGAGACAGUGAGCUUCAGCCCGUUUGAACAUAACACAUUCAGUCAGAUAGCAUCAUAAUCUGAUAUCACCUUUUCUAGCACUGAGUUAAAAUGAGCCACUCUCCAAAAAUCACCCCC
ensembl:lncRNA